rnacentral:rRNA from 1 species
AGUGAACGCUGGCGGCAGGCCUAACACAUGCAAGUCGAACGGCAGCACAAGAGAGCUUGCUCUCUGGGUGGCGAGUGGCGGACGGGUGAGGCAUGCAUCGGAAUCUGCCCAUUUGUGGGGGAUAACCUCGGGAAACCGGGACUAAUACCGCAUACGACCUACGGGUGAAAGCAGGGGAUCUUCGGACCUUGCGCAGAUGGAUGAGCCGAUGCCGGAUUAGCUAGUUGGAGGGGUAAAGGCCCACCAAGUCGACGAUCCGUAGCUGGUCUGAGAGGAUGAUGAGCCACACUGGGACUGGGACACGGCCCAGACUCCUACGGGAGGCAGCAGUGGGGAAUAUUGGACAAUGGGCGCAAGCCUGAUACAGCCAUGCCGCGUGUGUGAAGAAGGCCUUCGGGUUGUAAAGCACUUUUGUUGGGAAAGAAAAGCAGCCGGUUAAUACCCGGUUGUCAUGACGGUACCCAAAGAAUAAGCACCGGCUAACUUCGUG